rnacentral:lncRNA from 1 species
CUGUGACAUUUUAAGCUGUAGCUAACAGUGAGGUGAUGUUUUAGAGCUGUUUCAUUUUCUAUUACUAUUAUGACUAAUAAUGUUGCUUUUCUCAUAGGCCUGCUGUUUUAAUGUACUAUGUAUCUGACAGAUAGCAUUAAUGUAUUGUUUUUUGUCUCAAACAAACAGAAGAUUAUACCACUCCCGUGCGUUUAUUGGUAAGUAGAAGUGUUAUUACCAAAAGUGACAUCGUACUCUAAAAAUUAGCUGGAUGAAUGUUUUGCUUUAUCCUGGUAAACAACAACUCAUGAGACAUAUAUUUCAACAGAUGAUGCAUCUAAUAAAGACUGACUUUAAUUACAUAUUAAAUGUUGAUCUUUCUCUAUCACUACUGCAUAUCUCCUAUUAUACAUAUAUAUAUAUAUAUAUAUAUAUAUAUUGGAUACAUUUUUUCCUGGUGGACAACUGUGUUAACAAUGUUACCACACAACUACAUUUGUUUAUUCAAAACAUUUCAACUUGCUGGGAAAGUGUGACUUCAUUUUCAUAAUAAUGAUGAGGGAAAAUCAUUUGGGAAAAUGAGUGAAUGAAGUGAGCUGUGAGGCUGUUUAUUUUAAAGAGUAUUAAAUAUCUGUUUUCUACAUUUUAAGCUUCAUGUUUUUCAGGCCAAGGUUGCUUCACUAUAAUCUUUCCAGUCAUUAUGUGGUAUAAAACAUGAACUUGGAUUAGAAAUUACAAAACUAAUGAUUGUCAAUGAAAAAUGGUUGUGCCAUCAAUUAAGUAUGACAUAAUCAUUGUUUUGCAACUACAUUUACAUUUUCCUCCUCUAUAAUUUCACUGCUUCUGAAAUUGGCUAUUCUAUCUCUUUAAUGCAGACCAUUGUGGCCAACUCAGCUGAAAGUUCACUAACACAAAUACAUGUUAAUGUGUGAAUAAAUUUUUUUUACAACACAUUAUGUAAAACUGUACAUCAUGUCAUAAUUUCACAAACUGCUGCAUCUUUUCACUGAAUUGUAACAUUACCCAUUUCAAACUAUGCCUUAUCUUAAGUCAAGCUGAACCUAAUGUUAAUACGUUUGCUGCUUGAUAACAAUUGAAUGUUUAUUACAGUGUCAUGUUUUGUUUUUUGACAAUGAAACUCUAAAUGUUUCAUCUGUAUUUUUCCAUUUCCCCUCCUAGUGACUCUACCUUGUGUUUAAGUGCAGACCGCUUGCCAGUCAGUGUAAGUUUAUACAUGAAUGACAUUUUUAUGAAUAUCACUGUGUGCUUUUAUUGUACACAUUUUACACACACCUCUCUUUCUGUAGUUUCUACACAAUUGAGGUUACUUUCGUACACAUGAUAUUUCAUCACAUGCUUAUGAACAUUAUUAUUAAGGCAAUUAACAUUGAUUUAUAUAAGCAUUCAAGAUAAGUGGGUGAUACAUCUUUUCGUAAAAUACACUGAGCUCGUACAUACAUUUCUUCAUCUAUUUAGUAACAUUUUAUAUGUUCAGCCCUGAUACAUUUUUCAAAAGAUGAUCAAAUAACAAUGCUCAGUUUCAGCAUUUGACUCAACUACACUUUGAAUAGAUGUGUAUUCAGAAUUCCCAUAUGUUACUUUGAAUGAAAGCACAUUAUAAUGACAUUAGUUUCGGGUGAAUGUCGGUUGAUUUCAAUGUUUUUAUUAUAUUUCAUACAAAUUAUUAAUAUUUAUUUCCAUUUUUCUUACAGAUAUCCUGUACUGUCCCUCCACUCUCUCCUAUCAUUUUGGACAUUCUGCCUUUCUAUCUCUCCUCUAUCCAACUCUGACUAUUUGAACAGCUAUUGCCAGCCUUUACAACCUAUUUUGAAAGCCUUUACCACAGCCUUUGACAGCCUUUAAAAACCGUUGUGAAAGCCUUUAAGAAAGGCUUUGACUGCCUUUGACAGCCUUUCUACCACUUUUAGAGCCUUAAAAAGAGGCAUUCAGACACUUUGAGAACACUUUUUGGAAACAAGCUUUUUUUUUCAACUGAUCGCGUGUAAAAGCAAUACUUUUGAAACAGCAAAAUCUUU